AGAGUUUGAUCCUGGCUCAGAUUGAACGCUGGCGGCAGGCCUAACACAUGCAAGUCGAACGGUAACAGGAAACAGCUUGCUGUUUCGCUGACGAGUGGCGGACGGGUGAGUAAUGUCUGGGAAACUGCCUGAUGGAGGGGGAUAACUACUGGAAACGGUAGCUAAUACCGCAUAACGUCGCAAGACCAAAGAGGGGGACCUUCGGGCCUCUUGCCAUCGGAUGUGCCCAGAUGGGAUUAGCUAGUAGGUGGGGUAACGGCUCACCUAGGCGACGAUCCCUAGCUGGUCUGAGAGGAUGACCAGCCACACUGGAACUGAGACACGGUCCAGACUCCUACGGGAGGCAGCAGUGGGGAAUAUUGCACAAUGGGCGCAAGCCUGAUGCAGCCAUGCCGCGUGUAUGAAGAAGGCCUUCGGGUUGUAA
rnacentral:rRNA from 1 species